AGGACGGGCCAACACUUCUACUCAAGAAGCUCGUCCAGUGGGUAUUCCAACCCCUCAUCUAAGCCUUUUUUAGCCAAGCGCUCCUCCCCUCAAGACAGUCGGCGAAAGAGGGGAGGGAUGAGCAAACAGAAGCAGUGAACAAAACUGUACCUGAGCAGAUGCCUUCAGAAGGUAGCAGAGGAGGAAGCACAAGGAGUAAUACUUGUUCCAGUUUGGCCAACUCAGACAUUCUUCCCCAUACUUCUGAACAUGCUGAUAGAUCACCCACGGGUUUUGCCAAAGAGGGACGACCUGCUGAUUCUACCUCACUCCAUGGAACAGCAUCCACUCAAACCAAAGUUGCGGCUGAUGGCUUGUUAUGUCUCUGGGAGAGUCAUGGAGAACGGGAACAAAGAAGCAAUAUGCAACAUAUCUUAAAAAGUGGGAACACUUUUGUAGUGAGAGACAGAUUGAUAGAACUGAGGUGUCUGUAGAAAAUGCCUUGGCAUUUCUUACUAGCCUUUACAAUUCAGGACUGAAGUAUAGCGCUAUAAAUACAGCACGCAGCGCCCUAUCAUGCUUGGACUGUGGCAGCAGAAUUACAAUUGGUAAUCACCCACUGAUAUCAAGAUUUAUGAAAGGAGUCUUUGGAUGUCGGCCAACAGAAAGCAGAUAUGCAUUUGUAUGGGAUGUACAACUAGUUUUGAACUUACUAAGGCAAUGGGUGGCAAAUGAGGAGCUCUCCUUGAAAGAACUCUCACUGAAAACUGUCAUGCUGCUAGCACUCGUUACAGCACAGCGAGUGCAAUCACUCCACUUACUUGACAUUUCAUCAAUGGAAAGAAGAGCAGAUUGCAUUGUAUUCAAGCUUGAUUUACUCAAACAGUCCAGGCCUACUGUAAAAUCUACCUUCUACAAAGUAUCCAAGUGAAGAAAAGCUAUGUGCAGUUAGAACUUUGGAGGUAUACCUAGCAAGAACUAAACCUCUCAGGGGGAGUGAAACAAAGCUUUUGAUAACCCACUCCAAACCUCAUCACGCUGUUAGUGCGGAUACUCUAAGGAGAUGGAUUAAGUCAUGUAUGGAACAAGCUGGGAUUGACACAGUUGCAUUUGGUGCUCAUAGUACCCGCGCAGCAUCAACAUCUGCAGCCAGGAAAGGGGGUGUGCAUGUCACAGAUAUCCUUGCAAAGGCCGGAUGGUCCAGUGAGAGGACAUUUGGCAAACAUUACAACAUGCCAGUUGUCAGCGACAACGACUAUGUUAAAGCAGUACUGUCUGUAUCAAAUGAUUCAUAACUGUUUGAGCAAUAGACUACAGUAUUAGAGUGGAAUUUUUGUCUUCACCAAUUUCAUUGAAACAUGUUCAAUUCUCACAUGUGACUUGGUUAUAGCGUUGGCUAUUAUUUUUAGAGUAAAUACAUGCAUUGUUUUUACAACAA